AGAUAUUAAGACAGCUGUAAAAAAUAAAGUUCCUCUUGUACGGUCAUCAACUCUUAACUGGGUAACAUCCUGUAUUGAAACAAGUAACAAGGCUGUUAUUUUAAAGGUGCACAAGGACUAUGUGCCUAUCCUUAUGGAGUUGGGUAAGCGGGGUCUUGGAUCUAGAAGGCAGUGCAUUUGGAGAUGUUGUUACAUCAGUUAAAAGGCACUUAUUUUUGUGAAAGAAUUAGCUAUGCCUGGAAAUGGAGAGAAAGAGUCAAAUUUGAGCAAGAAAAACGCUCACAAACUCAAUGAUUUAUAAGGUCGUUGAGCAUGGUCUGGGACAUUUGCCAUUUACAGAAAAACAGGUGGUCACUCCAACUAGUAAGCUGACAGUCAAAUGAAUUUUUUUAGUUCUUUGCCCCUUUCAGUUUUCAGUUUUCAUUUUUAAUGGGUUCCUUCAGCUUAUAUGUGAAAAAUUACUUAUCAUAUUGUAACUUUUCCUUUUUUCUUUUUUUAAACAGGAAAUUUUUUAGCAUAUGAGUAACAUUAGCUUCUUGAGAGAAUUAUUUUGAGCAGUGGGAAGUUAGUUAUACUCGAUAAGCUGCUUGUUAGGUUGCAUGAGACAAAGCAUCGUGUUUUAAUUUUUUCCCAGGUUUGUUUAAGAUCCUAUUGUGCUUGAUAUGUUUUUUGAGAGGUUGCUUGAAGCUAUGAAGCUUGAUUAGAGUGCAACACUUGUUGUGCUUAAACGUCUGCUUUGUUUUUCAUUUGGAUAUAAUUCUUUGUUUACUUUUACCAUUUUUCUUACUAUAUUCUAGGAAUUGUAGUGUCUCGUAGUCAUAGGGCACUCUGUAUCUAAGCAAGCCAAACUGCUUGUAACGUUAAUAUUAAUGCAAUGUAGAGUUUCUAUACUAUUCAAUUGCCUUCUUUGACAGGUGUGUUCUAUAGAGCAGUCAGCUGAGAGUUGAAAGAUCGUUGUGAGAAAUUAUUUAAAGGCUGUAAGAAGUUUAUGUAAGUGUUUCAACAUUACUCGCACACAAAUUCCAAUGAGAAAAGUUGAUUUAUUUAUUUUUUUGGAAUUCUUUAGAAUGUUGAAAAUGGUCUUGUUUUGGUGAAACAGAAAGUAGUGAGAGUGAAGUUUAGAUUCUUUCCAGGAGUUCAAAUAGGAAUUGUGGAGAAAAUGUGCAGGCUUAAGUUUCAAUAAACUUUAAUGAGAAUUGAUUUCAACAACUCAUAUCGACUCCUAAAAAUGGUAGUUAAAACUGACUAGACUUCUAACAAUAUGAUCUUUUACUAACUAACAUCAUUCUUGAUCUGACAACAGAAUAGCAAAAGUACCCCAGGUAGUUAAAACAAACUAGAAUUCUAACAAUGUGUUCUUUUACUAACAUUACUCUUGAUCUUACUUAAACACAUUAAACUUUUGAUGAUUAAAGUCUUAAGAAUUUCUUUUCUUUAUGAUUUAUUUAGAUCAGAGGAACAAUGUAUACUAAUUUUUUUUUAUUCAGCAAUACCUCAACUAGCCAUGUGAUGGAAAAACUCAAUGUUGGAAACAAUGCCUUGGCCUGAUGAUUACUUUCAUUUUUUUUUCCACGGUUCUUUAGUUUGUUUCUAGAUUACUUUGUGCCUGAUGAUGAAAACUUUUAUUUUUGUAUUGAUAUGUGCAUUGAUUUCAUUUUGAACCUCCAUCUUUUCUGCUCUCACCAUCUUUGGUACUCACCAUGAUCCAUUAUUUUAUUUUAUUUAUUUAUUUAUUACUAUUUUCUCAUGUUGGCUGUGGUGAUGAUGAUCUGUGUUUGUUGUUGGUGGUGGUGAAUGCCAAAGGAGAUGGUUGAAGUGGUGGUGUUUAAACCUUGAAGAUGUGAUUGGUUCUUAAUGAAUUUUCAAUGUUCAUGAAAUUUCUAGCAUUAAUCUCUGAAGGCAUUUAUAUAUUAAAAUGGUCUCUUUUUACAGCUACAAAAUAUAUAUUUUAUUGCCUUAUGUAAUAAUAUGAAGAUAUUGUCAUUUUUUUUUGUUACUUUUCACUUUCUUUGCAUGCUUAUUUGCCCUGUGAUGGAAAAUCUAAUUUUCAGAAGCAGUUUCAUGGUUUUGCAUUAUAAGCCUUCUCUCUCUCUCUCUCUCUCUCUCUCUCUCUCUCUCUCUCUCUCUCUCUCUAUACAUACAUACAUACAUAUAUAUUGCUCUCUCUCUCUCUCUCUACUUUUUCACCAGAAAAAGUCUAUUUUACAGAAUCUAUUGUGAGUGCUCUUAAGGCUUAUAAUGAAAAUUCUCAUGUACACUGUUAAUGACCAUAUUAGCUUAUGAGAUCUGAGGGCUUUUGAAUAUCUAAGUUUGUUAUUCUCUGUUUUAUAAUGCUUUAUUUGCUUUAUCACCUGUUAAUAGAUUAGAGGAAGAAUUAUUUAAAGAUUACCUUUAUUAUUAAUCUGUUUUAUAAUGCAUGUUUUUUAACACUACUUGACAAUGCCUUUGAUGCUUUUGUAUCAAGUAACUUGAACCUGUUUGCAGUGCAUUCUUGUUUACAUUGGAUUUGAUUUUGUUGAUAUCUAUUUUGGCCCAUCUUUGCUUCUUAGAUUAUGAACUUUUUUUUUUGGCCUGAUGAUGAUAUUUGUCCUCUGUUUUUGCUAGUCUACUUAGUUUUGUUUCCUCAACUGAAAUAUAUGAGUACUGCCCUGUUUUUGUUUCUCAGGCAAGUGAAAAGCUUUGGAGCUUAUUUGUUUAAUGGUCAUUAACUACACGAGGUGUUCCUCUUAUUUAGUAUUUUAAUUUAUAUUAGACUGAGCAUAAACUUCUUAGUUGCAUGAGUGAUCUUUUUGAAUGUUUUUUUAAGUUAUGAUAGGUUUCUUACAUUUUGUGGUGUAUCUCUCUAUUUAGAGAUAGAGUUCAUCUCUUAAAUUAACAAAAUUUUCCUUUAGAUUAGAUUGUAUUAGUGUUGAUAAUCCAAAAGUCUGUUAGAAAAAGCUUUGUCUAAAUUUGUUAUUGCUUUGUUUGUCUUUAUUUUGUUAUUUUAUUUUAUCUUGUCUAUAAUUUUCUGGUUGUGUAGUUCCCUCAAGCCUUGUUCACUUAUAUGACCCAUCCUUUGGUGCCAUAGUUACAUCUCAUUUUCUUGAACUUUAAUAGCAUCAACUUCAGCAAUAGCAAUAGCUUCAGCAACAGAUCAGAGUUUGAGUUAGAGGACGACCAAGAAGAAAUGAAUAUGUUGCGUUUGAAGGACCAUCUGCUCCAAGGACCAAACGAAAUGCGUCGCCGGUGACCAUAUCGUCUUCCGACUCGGAGGUUUCAGAUGCAGAGAUAAUCAUGAGCCGAACAACUUUCCAAAAUCUGACUUUCAGCAUGUUGUUUAAUCUGCGUACUGAUGUGGAGGAAAUCAAGAACAAAGGGUGUUGCCAUUGUUGUAAUGACAAAUCAAAGGAGGCUCAUACAGAAGUUCUUUCUCCAUCUCCACCACAUCGCCCCUCUAAGACCAAGUAAGCCAUGUCCAGAGAAGAUUGCUUUUGUGUAUAGUCUAGUGAUGUUUAAUCAAGUGAAAUCCUUUUACCUUAUGUUUGUUUUUGAAAAAGAAAAAAAUAUCUAGUUUAUAUCUUAUAUCAGGUUGUAAUGUAAACAUGUAUUACGGACAACAUCCUCGUGUGAAACUCUUUAA